CAACAGGGAUUGCCCCAGUAACGGCGAGUGAAGCGGCAACAGCUCAAAUUUGAAAUCUGGCCCCCGGGUCCGAGUUGUAAUUUGCAGAGGAUGCUUUGGGCGAGGUGCCUUCCGAGUUCCCUGGAACGGGACGCCACAGAGGGUGAGAGCCCCGUCUGGUCGGACACCGAGCCCGUGUAAAGCUCCUUCGACGAGUCGAGUAGUUUGGGAAUGCUGCUCAAAAUGGGAGGUAUAUGUCUUCUAAAGCUAAAUAUUGGCCAGAGACCGAUAGCGCACAAGUAGAGUGAUCGAAAGAUGAAAAGCACUUUGAAAAGAGGGUUAAAAAGUACGUGAAAUUGUUGAAAGGGAAGCGCCUAUGACCAGACUUGGGCCCGGUGAAUCAUCCAGCGUUCUCGCUGGUGCACUUUGCCGGGCACAGGCCAGCAUCAGUUUGGCGCGGGGGACAAAGGCUUCGGGAAUGUGGCUCCCUCGGGAGUGUUAUAGCCCGCUGCGUAAUACCCUGCGCCGGACUGAGGUACGCGCAUCGCAAGGAUGCUGGCGUAAUGGUCAUCAGCGACCCGUCUUGAAACACGGACCAAGGAGUCGUCUUCGUAUGCGAGUGUUCGGGUGUCAAACCCCUACGCGGAAUGAAAGUGAACGCAGGUGAGAGCUUCGGCGCAUCAUCGACCGAUCCUGAUGUUCUCGGAUGGAUUUGAGUAAGAGCAUACGGGGCCGGACCCGAAAGAAGGUGAACUAUGCCUGUAUAGGGUGAAGCCAGAGGAAACUCUGGUGGAGGCUCGCAGCGGUUCUGACGUGCGAAUCGAUCGUCAAAUAUGGGCAUGGGGGCGAAAGACUAAUCGAAC
rnacentral:rRNA from 1 species